UUCUUAUUCAGAGUGAUGGAGAUACAUAGGAUCUGUGAAGUCACGGCAACCCCUCUACGGAAGGUGCCAACCUGAGCGAGCAAAUACUGUUAUGGAUGAGCG
rnacentral:ncRNA from 2 species